ACGUCCCAGCCGACCCCACUCUGCGCAGAACGGCGCGGCCGGGCGCCAGGCUUCGCGGCGUCAGCCGCACUGGUUCCUCAGCACCUUCGGGCUGGGGCUGCCGAGCCCGCCCCAAAAGGUCGUUUCCCCUGCAGUUUCCAACAUGGCAAGCAGGUUUCAUAAACAUGGAUAAGAAGUCCACACACAGAAGUUCUGGAGAUGCCAGGACUGGCAGAAGUGGAGGUAAACACAAACAGAAUAAAAAAGGAAAGCAAAACCCCAAUCACCGCCAAUCCCGACACAGAUCAUCAACGUCUCAUUCUUCAGAUGACCGUGUGUUUCCUUUUUCUCUAUCAUCUUCAGGAAGCCAGACGGAUUCAAGUCUCGAAGGUGCUACCAAGGGAAAAAUUAAGAGAAAGAGAAGGGAGAAGAGGAGUAGAUGGAGGAAAGAAAGAAAGGUAUCUUCUGAGAUGUCCAUCAUUCUGUCUGGUCCUCAGUCACUGAUCCACACCAUUUGCCACUGAGAUGUCCUCAUUCCUGUCUGCCUAGUCCUUUCAGAACAAAAGAAGAAAUAUCAAGAAAAAAAGAGAAGGAAAAAAGGAGGAAACAACCACAUGCCAUCACCUUUCCAAGAGGGGCUGAAACCAGGUUGAACUUUUUGAUUUCCAAGACUCAGCCUUUCGGUGUCAGGUGGCCAAAUGAGGAUGCCAAGCCCCAGCACCGUGAAACCUACAGAAACAUCAAAGAGCUUGGAGAAUGGGAUGUCUUUCCACCAUGUUUAGACUCCUGGAACCAAUCUUCACAUCCUCUGCACCCACACAAUAAAGAGUUGGGAAAUCACAUUUUGUUGGAUGAAGGUCCACAUCCAACACUUGAGAGCCUGAAGCACAAGUCAUCUGUGGCAAUUUUAGGAUGUUUAUCCUGUACUCACAUAUUUGGUAGGGAGGGAGGAGACUGAGUCUGCCCUCUUGAGUAUUAUGCCUAAUAAUUGCAUCUAAAAGACCUAUACCAACGUCCUGCACAAAGCAGAAGACUUAAAGGUGGCAUGAAAAGGGAAGAAGACUGAUAUGGCAACAGAGGUUUAGAUAAUCAAAGGAACCUUCUAGCUUCCUCAUCCAUGAGACCUUCAGCUGGAGCCUUAUAUGUGGCCCAGAAGGAGGGAGUCACUGAAUUACCUCGAUAUGGGAUUGAAGCUCCAAGAUGGGAUCCAAAUGCACCCAUCCAUCAGGCACAUUUGUGAAGUACCUACUCUGCACCCAGAAGGCGGAGACCCAGAAAUGAAAGACCUGGUCCAGCACUUAAGGAUUUCACGAACUACAGGAGGCAGUGAACUGGCAGGAAGAGGGAAGGAGUGACCUGAAAACCACAUGCAUUUCCAGCACUGUGUGGUAAGUAAAGUGAUGAGGGCUUUUCGGGCUGUUCCAAGAGCACCUAGGAUCGAUCUGUGUCUCUGAGAAGCAGUGCUGCUUAAGGAAGGAACCGCGGCUCUGUUUCAGGCAGGCCAUGUGCUUGUAACCUGAGACAAAACAUAGCGCACCUCACCUCAGGGUCACAAUCAUAUAAGAUACUGUGGAUAAACUGUAAAGGACCAUUUAAAUGUUAAUAAAGGAAUGUUCUUGAUGACAAAGCCACUUCUGUCCAUAGCAAUAUCGUUGGCCUGGCUCAUUUGGAUAAAAGCUCUAUUUUUUUUUUCCCAUCCCUGAAGCUGCACUUUCGAGCAGCUUCUUUGCCUACUGGCUUGAUUACUUUUCUCCUUAGGAGGUGCUAACCUCACUCCUCUCUGUCCCGUGUUCUGGAGCCUGGACAUUUCGUGAGAGCCUAGCAGAAGCCCACAGCCCCAAGUGGGGGCCAGAAGUAGUUCUAAAGCUGUUAGCCUCAGGACAUGGCUACACGGAGAGGGAUGGCUUGUUCCUGGAAUGGAAUUCUCCCCACACCAAAUUCCAGCUGGGAGGAGAGAUUGGGCUGGAGAACUUCCAAGUUAGACUGAAGGGCUUUGGGAAUGUCGCAUUUGCUCCAGCAAAGGAAUCGUAACUGGAAUGAAAUACAAUCAAAUUUGCUAGAAAACACUCCACCCUCUGUUAGCUUGUGAAUGCCUUUCUCUGUAACACAGAAAGUCUCGGACAUUUUUAGAAACUUUAAAAAAUCAUUUUGCUAUUUUUGCCUUGAUUAUGAUAAAAUCAUGAUUGCUAGUCAAGUGUUUUUAUUUUUACAUUAGCAUCUUACUAAAUAUAAUAAUGCUAAUUUAAUACACUAAUAAUAUUCAUAAACAUGUCAAUUUCCAUAUUUAACAGACAAUGCAAAAUGUUAAACUGAUUUAAAAUAACUGUCUAAAAAUGAUUUGUCGAUGAAUAAAUUUUCAAAUAACAUACUUUGUUUUGCUGGGGAGCCACAUGAAUGUAAAGACAGACUGAAAUUUCACUCUGUUGAAAGAUGGCAUCAAAAAUAGACAAACUUUUUUCAUUACCUAAUGUUAGAAUUCUUGAGAUUUCCCUUGAGUUAUUUUGAUAAAUGUUAGUGUUUUGCUUCUAACUGGCAAGAAAAGAAGAGAAGAUGUUAGGUUGCUGUUUGCAUGCAAGUCUCAAAAAAUAAAAUACAUAGAUGUGGAGAGUAUUUUCACCAAAUGGAAAGUCAAAUUAGAUAUACUGUCACUAUUGAUUGACAUUACUUUUUCAGGCUAUUCGAGAAUCUUGGUUGCCAUGGAAGAAUUAUAAUCAAAUGAAAAUAACAAGGAUCUGAGUAAAGAGCAUCCUUAAGCUAGUUUGCAGAAUUGUUAUAAUUUAUGUGCAGUCAUUAACUUACUGCAUACUGACACUGUUUCACAGGCACUCUGUUUUUCACCAACACUUUAUUGUGGACUUAAGUAAACACUAUAUGACCAAGAAUAAAGCAAAUUACAACUUU